GAGAAAGCCUUCUUUCUUAAACAAAGUUUUUCUUUAAAGUUCUCUUUUCUCUUUUCAAGCUUGCUAUCUUUAGUUGAAUUCUCCAAUCUUAGUUAUGAUCUUGGGCUAGCAGAAAAUUCGUGAAUAAUACCUUUCUUCUGCUAUUCUUUACAUCACAUACCGAAUAAAUUCAAUGAAUAGUGAUUAACCUUAUCUCUAUUUCAAUUUUCAAAUGAAGAAUGAAGAUUGCACUUCCGGUUGAAGCCUAACGAAGGGGGUAAUACUUAAUAGAAUAGAUGAGAUUUCUCUAUCUUUGAAUAAAUAUUUUGGUGCCGAGUCUUGAAAAUAAAGAAAUUUAAUUUCUGGUAAAAAGCAUUUUUCUCUUUAAAUAGAUCCUACACAUCACAAAUCUAAAUUAGUUGGAUAAGUAAUGUGUUCUAGAUCCCAAAAAAUUACUCGCCAUUGAAUUCCGAGCACAACCAAUUCAACAUUCACAGACUUAUGUUUCUCAAAGUUCUCCGUAUUAUUUGCAUAAAUUGUUAGUAUAUGCCAUUUGCAUCACGAUAUUGAUUAGUCCCUUCGUUUUAAUUUAUGUAAAUUUAUUUAACUUAGUAUGAGGUUAAAAAAAUAAAAUUUGUUAGAAUUUAUGAUCUUAAACAAGUCAAAAAGGAGGUAUAGAGUAUUCGUAUGAUUAUAAAAACUUCUCAUUAAAUGUAGAAUUGAAAGUUUAAGCUAAAUUGUUUUCAAAUUUUAAAAAAAAUUAUUUUUUAGAAAAAAAAAUAAGUUCACAUAAACUAAAACGGGGGGAGUAUAAAUUUGCAUUUUAUUUUAUGAGAGUAAUAUAAUUCAAAUGUGUAGUGUUUAACACGUCUUAGGAGGUGUUAAAGAAGGUGGACCUUAGUUUGAGCUGAUGCAUACCUAAUUUGCAAAUAUACAACAGAAGCGUCCAAUUUUACUUCUUUUGUCCAAAAUUUAGUUCUCAACGUAUCUUAGUUUUACUCUUUAUUAUACUAUAAGCUAUUCGAUCUUAUUCGUGUUAUUGUUGGUAUUAUUAAUAAAUAAUAAUGUAAAGUUAAAGAUUUGUCCCUUUUCUUUUUCACUUCUUUGUUUUUUUAUGCAAAACAAGGUGUUAUCAUCGGUUGUUGAUGUUUAGGUUAAAUUAUAUAUAUUUUUAUGUAUAUCGCUUCAUAUUUUAGUUUUUGUUUUGUGAAUUUGGGAUAUUAAAUGUUAUGAUUUAUAUUAAUUUGAAGUAUUUUUAUGUGUAGAAAUGAUUCGGGAGAAAUUGGGAGCGAAACACGCAAGAUUUGAGCCAAAACGAACGAGACCGGAAAACUUGCGAAUUUGGGUGCCAAAGUCCUACCUGUGGCCCCAAAACCAGUAGCUAAAAAUAUUGGGUUGCCAUGGAGGGCGCCACUGACGUGAAUUUUCUCCAAUUUAUCUAGUGACAAAGUUAUUUCGACCCUAGACCUACCCAACAUGUAUAAAAGGAAUCCAACCCUAUUUUGGAGGGGGAGAAUAUUUUUUGAGAAGAAAAACACAAGCACAGAGCCGUCGUGGAGGCUGGAAUUCAUCAAAUUCCAUCUUUCUUCCCACAAACUUAGUAAUUUUUAUGUUUUUUUUAUAUGAUUUGUUGUUUUUCUGUCAUGUCUAUAUGGAGCUAAACUUCACGUUCUAGGGUUGUGGUUCUUUCAUGACUAUUGUUAUUCAGAUAUUGAUUUUGAUUUCUUAGUUUAUAAUAUUGAUUUGUUUAUUCAAUCCCG
rnacentral:lncRNA from 1 species